GUUCUCCGCAGAAGCCUAAUGGUAGUGGAGCCCCACAGGAGCGAUCUGAGAUCACAUGUAUGCAGCAACAGCAGAACCCAAGAGGGCCGUCAUUCGGUCCUGCUGUUCUUUGCAUUUCACGUGUUCUCAGGUCGCCCCUGCAGGGCUUCCCUCUACCGCACAAUCGCGCGCACUUAUAAUUUGGUGAGAUAAAACAAGUAGAUAUAGUCCCCUCCCCUCGCGUGGAAGUCUUUCUAAGAACAAAUAUUGGCCUUGUCUCAAGGCUAUUAUCAGAAGGGAAAUUCUAUUGAGAACCUUCACGUUGUAAACGUACAAUUUUUUCGUAACUUCCAGCUUUGGCCUUAAAAAAACAUUUGAAAAAAAAAAAAAGAAGCCAAAAAACUUGCUGGUAUGGGGGAGGUUCCCUUUUCUUCCCCAGUAUAUGUGCAGGAUGAAGCAAACCUUGUUUGAGAUUGUGUUAAUUAUUGUUGGGGCCAAAUGUGUUUUUGCUCAUGUUUUUGUUGAAGUACAUCUUCGCUUCCCCAAUCAAAUGAUGAACUUGGAAGAACAUACCAAGAUUUUCCCUCAACUUAUAUGCAGCUGAGGACUGGAGGAAGCACCAUCCCUGGAAGGUCGUGAGAUGGGUAUAUGCUUUUGGGCUUUUUGAUUUUACUGAAGCCCAAAUACCUUGUUUUUUUACCUUAAAAGUAAUUUACUAAAUAAUUUAAUCGAAUAUAUAUGCGAUAGUGUUAAGUUGUCAUUUACCUUGUGUCAAAAAAAAAAAAAAAGUUGUCAUUUACCCAGUGAAAGAAUGGUGUAGACUGUAAUAACUCUGAACCAAUCAAUUUUCGAAGAAGAAAAAUGAAACAUAAGAAAAACGGAAGGCUUUUGUAGAAAAAAGCUUUCAUGCACAGAGAAGGAAAGAGAAAUCCUUUUGGUAAAGCAAAACCCGCAAAAUCCUACCACAAAAGAGGUUGGUUAAAUAGAUUAACUAAAUUCAACUUAUUAAGAUAUGCAAAUUUAUUGGAGUAUAGAAAAGUAAACACAAGGUCGAUCCCACGAGGAUUAGAUAACUUGAUUCUAUAAUAUUUACCCCAACUCAAUUUCCUAAUUUAAAUAUAACUCAAUGCUGCAAGACACAAGGACACAUGAAAAGUUUAUCAAGUAUGGGAUAAAAAAACACGCUUGAGCGGGUUUUCCCCUACAUAAAAAUGCUCGAGCUGGUUUUAUCUAAGAAAUAGAAGGGUGGUAAUUGGUUACAAAAAUGCAAUUCGUGUCUCCUUGUUUGGUAAUUGCACUACAAGUCUCGACUUGGCAGCAAGCCAAAUCUGCUCAAAAAACACACACACAUUGGGGCAAUGAUUGGCUCAAAGCAAUGACGGAUCCUGGAUUUAAAAGUCAAGUAGGCGAAACUUACCUUAAAAACUCGAAGAUACGAGUGAAUUUCAUUCAUAAAAAUAAAAAUAUACACCUAGUCAGAGGACGUAAUGAGCCUUACCCUCAAAUAUGCAUCUCUAUACAUAAAUAAAAGCUUAACAAAAAAAAACUAAAAAAAAUAGAUAAAUGCAAUGCAACACAAAACUAAACUAUUUAAAUCUAAAACUUUAC